GGGCGUUUAGAGGUUUUUCUUGAAAAUGUUUCACCACACAUCCAAUAGGCUUCUUCAGUUCAACUGAAGUGGUAGGCAAUUCCCUGGCAUUUCACCUCUUGAUGGUAGUAAAGUCACAGACAUCAAAUCACAGUGGUUACAUUGAACUUCAGUGAGGUGUUUCCCAGAUGUGGGAAAAUGUGGUCCAGUCACAAUGGUACCAUUGAGGCAGUGUUGAGCUUUCUAGAUACUGUAUUUCAUGGCCUGGAUAAAUGAGAAUCUUCAUGAACACUUCCUGCCAACUGUGGCCAGAAUUUGAAAUUUCAGGUGAUCUUUAGAUUUUUUAAUUUUACAAACACUGUAGCUUAUGACCGCACACACUUAUUUUACAGGUGCAGACUUCUCCAUCAUUGCUUUGUGAAGUCAGUACAUCGGCUAGACUUACUUGUCUCUCAGCUUGGCUUCCCAGUGGCGUAGACUAUAAGGAAAAAAGCAACACAGCUGUCACUGCUUCAGCUGUGAAAGACUUUGACAGGCCAAAGAAGAAAAGUCCCAAAAUGAAACAACGGAUAAGGAAGCAAGUGGAAACCUGAAACUAAACAGAAGAAAAAGAAACCCAGUUAAAUAACUCAAUUCCUGUAUUUAUUUAUUCUCUGUACAUGUUUAUUAAAUAGUUGAAAAGUAAAGGGAUAAUAAUUUAUUUUUUAAUAUGCAAUAACAUGCUAAUGCAAUAUUAUUAUUUGAAUACUAAAUAUCUGCUUUUGGUAUCGCUAAAGGUAUAUCCUACUCUCUUUUUUGUUAUGCAGCACACCCUUUUCAUGCACACACCAAAACAAGCUAAUUAAGAAAUGUGCAACAGGCCCUAUGGUGCUUGAAAUUUUUUCUGCUGCUUAACCAUUGGGCCUGACCUACUUGUCAUUUUACUUCUCCUCAGGACACCACAGCAAAACAACCCUUUCCACAUUUUUUCCCUUUAAACUUCCCAUCGCUUAUGCAAUCGUGGCACCUGGUCAAGGUUAUUACAGCAGUUUCAUUCACUUGAGAAAAAAUGUAUUUAUGCUCCAUUAAUGUAUUAGUCAUCUAGUUAAACAGCUGAAAUGCAGUUGCUGUAUUUAAUAAAAUGGAUGUUUUA